CUCUCUACCGCUCCGUCGCUCGUAUCGAGCGAGUCGAACAGAGGCGACCGACCGCGACCAAGCAGGCGAACCCUAGGCGGCGGGCGGAGGCGGCUCGGCUGGGCAGAGGCAGCGGGCCACCGGCCGGCGAUUCACCGGCGAAGGCAAGGGCGAGCGGGCGGGCGGACCGGCUCCACCGCUCCAGCCUCCAGGACUCCAACUCGCCCACGCCCAGGUUGCAAAGAUGCUGCCCGAGACAGGUGUUCCCGCGAGCAGGAAACGAAAAAUCGGCACAGAUGAUGGAGGAGAUCUGCAUCUGGCCAGCUCUCGUGGAGAAGAAGAGGAAUUCGGCAGCCCGAGCGAUUAUGGUCAAGGAGUCAGUGAACAAGCUGCUUCAAACUGGGCUCAAAGUGUUGUAUCGCUCACUUCAUCUGAUGAGGGCGGUUCCAUACAUCCUCCGUGCACAGGCAUAGUUUUUCACCACACCAAAACUAGAGCAUGUCUUCUGACUUCAUUAAGCUUGUUUAGAUCUAGUGAUGAUGAGAGAAUGAUCAGUUUCAGAACGGAGACUAAAGUGCGCCUUCCAAAUGACCAAGUUGUCAAUGGAAUUCCGAUAUUCCACGACGUAAAAAACAAUCUUUCUGUUGUCAGUGUGUUGCCAAAAGGUGUUGUUCUUCGUGCAGCGUGUCUAGAUCAUCAGCAACAGUUUGAGUCUCACAGUCAAGUAGUCUCUCUUCGGCGCUGCUUCAGCUCAGGAGAAUUAAUGACUGCAGCUAGGAUGUUGGCUGGCGAUCCAACAAGUGCUGAUCCUGAAGAGGCUGGAGCUGAAGGACUCUUUGUUGAUUCUUUUGGGAACUUUGUUGGGUUGAACUGCUAUUCUAAAGGAGGGACUACUUUCAUACCAAGGAGUACAAUUCUGGAAUUCGUGGCCGGGUUUCAGAAAGCAUGCACCAAAAAGACGGCUAGAUCAGCUGAUCUUAGACGUAAAAUCGGCUCGCAGUAUGAGCUCCCCAUGAAAAAGUUUGGAAUAAAAGGAAGAGCAAUCAAGUUGAAAGCAUGGUCCCCAUCUCAUAUGUCUGGCUUAGAAGGCAGCUCAACACUGGAAAAGAAACAGUCUGCAUGUCAUUACUGUGAUCCAGAAGGUCAAUCAGCACCGGGAGACCGUUUGAAACGUUUAUUCCCUGGUCCUAGUUGGCCAGCUGAUGGUGAUGGUGUAUCCAAGGAGGCUGCUAGGAAUACGUUAAGGUCCAGAGGUUAUCCUGUCCCAGUUAAGCACGAUGGUGGCAUGCGUUUGCUUUGUAAUUUUGAAGAGGAAUUUGCUGAAGAUAACUGGAGUAAACUCACAGAACGAGUUGCUUCGCAUAUGUCUCAAAGUGUUGUCGCGCUGGCUUCAUUCAGAGGAGAUAAAAGGUUUUUUGCUUGCACAGGCAUAUUUAUAGACUGCAAUGAGUUAACCACAAGAGUUCUGACCUCGGCAAGUUUGGUUAGAAAUUCUGAUGAUGAAGAUAAGGUUGCUGACAACUUGAAGAUUGAAGUGUGCCUUCCAGAUAAUGAACAUGCCACAGGCACGUUGCAAUAUCAGGAUUUACGUUACAACAUCGCCAUCAUUACCAUUGUGGGUUCUCACUGUACUCAGACAGCGCAAAUCUAUGAUCAGUUGCAAACUGAACCUCAUGGGGAAGUAGCAGCUGUAGGGCGCGUCUACGAAUCAGGCAAUUUAAUAGCCACAGGUGGCACUUUGAUUGACAAGUCAAGUGAACUCGAUUGCAAAGAGCUUAAGAUGUCCACAUGCAAAAUCACAAAGGCUGGGAUUGGAGGGCCUCUUAUUGAUUUUGAUGGGAAUUUUAUUGGCAUGGACUUCUACGGCUUGGAAGAAACUCCGUACCUGCCCAGAAAUGUAGUGCUUGAAGUCUUGAGGAGUUUUGAUGCAAAGUCUGGUGUUACUGAUUUGAUCAACGGUGAUAACCCAAACAGGUGGCCCGUGCCUAAGCCUUUUUGGUGCUAUCCGAUAUGGCACAUCUAUAUGGGGGAAGGUGUAGAUGAAGAUGACCUACCCCGGCCUAUAUGGACGUGAUUAUCAAAACCAUCUGUUCUCCUAUAGUGCGAGGUUUGGCGGAGGUGGAAGAUACCAGACCAUAGUACUAUAGACGAUACAUAUCCACAGAGUCCGUGAGCGUGCGCCAUAGCCGUCUCAAGUCUCCAUACUCGCAGAAUCUGUCUACUCUGUGUUGGCCUCCAUUGUCGGCGCAUUCACGAUGGGCUGGUAAGCACAAAAGACAGAUAUGGUUGUGGGCUUAGAUAGGCUGUAAAACUGAGAUAAAUGUAUGCGCUGUAUGAGGUCCAAGAAAGGAAGGUGGGGAUCCUUCAUGUCUCUGUUUAAAAAUGUGUUAGUGGGAAGAUUCAUGGGAGGGCACACUACCAUAGAAUCAUCAAUACUUGGUUCUUUGUCAACCCUACAUCUUUGUUAUAUCUAAUUAUUUUGCAUUUGUCUGCAUUUAUUUUUU